UGCGCGCUUGAGCCGGAGCGGGGCUCGCCCCUCGUCGGCUCCCGCCGCCCAGCCGGUGAUCGCUCUCCGGCCGUCCCCGGCACCCUCGGCCCCCCACGGCGGUUGGUCCGGGCGGGGGAAGGAGAAAGUGAGACUCGGUGUCAUCACCAAUCCAUCGCCAGAAGGGGAGGAAACUGGAAUCCAGCAGCGGCGAGCAGCAGCUGGACGGUAACAUCUGGAAAUGGAAAGCCGACCUCCCCCUCCUCCUCCACCUCCUCCUCCUCCUCCUCCUCCUCCUCCUCCUCCUCUCACCCAGGAUCACUUCCAAAACCACUUGGCCUUCAGCCCCUGCCUCGGCCAGAGGUUUCAUUUUUAACUGAAUAUUUACGAAAGCUGAAAGCGUGCGAGGGGGGUGGGGUGGAAAUAGCGGCUGCUUCUUUUCCAAGGAUUUAUUUAAUGGGGAUGUGUUCAAGGCAAGACCGAAUUCAGAAGGAUAUCGACGUCGUGAUCCAGAAGUCCAGAGCUGAGGACUGCCUGUUUGCAGGGCCCGCCUGGCAGGACGACUGAGCAAGUCCUUGGAAAACCAGAGAUAUUAGAGCGGUGAAUCGCGCUGGUCACGUUGGACACCUGCGCGUUAGGAGAUUCUGGAGCCAGAGGGAGAGACCCCAGAAACUCCCCGGUCGGCGACCCAGCCCGAGACGCCUGGGGUCCCAAGGGAAGCUGAACGCCCGGUGGGCUCCCGGGAUGGUUCUUCCGGUUCUUUGUGCCGCCUUCACCCAGUGAAGGAGCCUGUAUCCACCCUGCCCAGUCGCUGUUGGGCUGCUGCGGAGCUUCCGCUGCCAUCUUCGGAUCCUGUGUUCCGCCCGGGGCUCCACCAGGGCAGGGAUGGUGGUGAGGGUCGCUCGUGGGUCCCCUGGCAGGGAGCAGGGUCUGGCACUCACAAGGGCGCACGACUAGGACUUGUCGAAUGAAUCCUUUGUCGCCUUUAGCUUUUAGUCCUUUGAAGAGAGGUGAGAGUGGAAAUCAAGAGAUUUUUUUCCACGGGGAAGUUCUUUUUACAAAGCGUUGAUUUCUCGGCACCCCGCGGGGCGGGCAACUGACACGGCCUCCGGUGCACCUUCUGCGCUGUGGAGCCUCUGGGGCUCAGCUGGGCGGUGGUCGGGUCGUGGGGCGGUAGGGCGGGAGCGGGGGAAGGGAAAAGCAAAAGCUGGAAAAGAAGCAGGGGAGUUAUGAACCAGACAUCCAGACCUCCUGAAGGGCUCGUGCAGACGUACAGGCGGGAUCUUCUGGAAGUGAGAAUUGUUUUUGUUUGUUUAUCUAUUGUAGCAGAAUGGGGAAAUGGAGAGAGAACCUGAAAGAGCCCCAAACUCGAGGACCUAUUGCUCCCCAAGAAUAACAUCUUCCAGAACUAGACAGAAAACUAGGCGUCUGGGAACCCUGAAAUCCUUGGAGGAGUAGAUCAUCAUGACCCUCUGUGUUCCUUUUGGCAAAUGACUUGCUUCCAUUGUUUGUUUGUUCAAUUGUCUGUUUGUUAAAUAAAUAAAACCCUUUUCAUGUAUCUUUAAAAUUACAUUGGUUCUAUUAUUUUAUGAUUACAAACGAUGCUGCAGUCAUCAUUCUUGUACACUUCUCAUUGGCCACUGGUGUAUUUCUAUAGGGUGGAGGCCUGGAGAGCAGUUGUUCCAGCAUAGUGUUUACAUAGCUUUUAUUUAAUUCCGUUUUCUUUCCUUUGUUGCUUUAUUAGCUAUAACCCUUCUCUUAUUUCAGUGGCAGCUUUAGGGUUUCUGGGAUACAUCUUUAAUUUAUCACAUUCUGCUUUCAAGUGCAAUUAUACCUCCCUUUCUGGCCUUUAUCCUAGUGUUACGUAUUUUUACUUUAUGCAUUAUAAGUUUUGUGAUUAUCAUUACUUUCAUUUAUUAUGUCAAAUAUUUUUAAAAAGAUUUAAAUUAUAAGAAAAUGUGUAGUACAUGCUUUCUAAAUGCCAUUUCCAAUAUUUGUUUUUGUAUAGGUCCAGAUUUUUAUCUGGGAUCCUUUUGCUUCUGCCUGGAGGACUUUUAAUAAGAUUUCUUGUAACGUGGGUUGGUGAAUUGUUUUAGCUUUUGUAUGUUUUUCGAUGUCCUUAUUUCACUCACAGUUUUGAAAUUUUAUUUUUGCAUAGAAUUCUAGGUUAACUUUUUUUCUCUGGGUACUUUAAAAAUGUUACCAUUUAUGAAGCAUUGCCAUUAUAAUAUCAUCUUUCUUUCCUGUGUUUGUAAGAAUGGCAUAAAGCCGGUUUCUUGCGGUGGUUAUAUAAUUUUCAGAAUGUGUACUUAAAUUUAAAAUAUUAAAUUUUAC
rnacentral:lncRNA from 1 species